AUUUAAUCAAACUGUCACAUCUCAAGAUCGAUGAAUUAUAUUAUGUUUUCCAUACAAAUAUAAUCGAAAAACAAAUGUUGGCAAAUUGGGAAUGAAUGCCAUGCCAUAGCACUAUAGAAAAUUUGAUCACUUUUCAGGCAAAAAUUCAUUUUUUGAAAGUUGGCAGAUUGAACUAAUUUUAGGUGCAUGUACAAUGUAAACGCGUGUUUACAAUAGAUCAUUCAUCAAUGUUGCAUACCAGAAUUUUCGAUAGAUGGCGCCACCUUAACAAUAAUACAGAUGAUGUUGGAAUUGCAAUUCACGUGCUUUUGCACAUUGCGUUUUUCUUUUAGUUUCAUUUGUGAAAAGUUACAAGUUAAGCACACUUUUAACCCUUAUCCGUGAAAUUUUCAUUUUUAGAAUGUAAUCUCAAUUUGCCCAACGUUGAAUUGUUUGGUAAAUGGCUAGAAGCAAAUGGGAAAAGCGAAAGGAAAGAUGCACUUUUUCAAUUUAUAAAAGCGGCUAUACCAGAAGAGGAGCAUAAUGAUAUUGUUAAAAAUACAACCAAAAAAGUUUUCUACCGCAUAAAUUUAAUGUGGACGUCCUGCCAUAGAAAUUCAAAACACGUCCAGCAAAAGUAUGGUGCUUGGAUGAAUAACCAAACGAUCAUCAGAAUAAAGCGUCAGAAAAAAUAGACUUUUCCUUCAGAAGUAUUCAGUUUAUUAGAAUGCUCAUUAAAUUCGAAAGAAGAUAUGGAGAAUGAGAGCAGCUUUUUGAAUACUGAUCUACUUCGGGAUUCUAUUAAUUUGAAAAGCGAAGAAGUUUUAUAGGGCUGCAGCAGGACGAAAUAUGUAGUAAACACUUUGUAACGAAAGAUUACCGAAACAAGCAAAUGAGAAGAAUACAAAAUAUUGAUAAAAGAAAUUAACUUUUUGUAUAACCCAAUUCUUCUAAUUUGUUGGGAUUAACAAUAAAAACGGUAGCCGACCUUAAACUGAGCAAGCUUGCUUUUGUCCAGCAUUUAAUCAAACUGUAACAUCUCAAGAUCAAUGAAAUUUAUUAUCUUUUCCAUACAAAUAUAAUCGAAAAACAAAUGUUGGCAAAUUGGGAAUGAAUGCCAUGCCAUAGCACUAUAGAAAAUUUGAUCACUUUUUUAGGCAAAAAUUCAUUUUUUGAAAGUUGGCAGAUUGAACUAAUUUUAGAAUGUAAUCUCAAUUUGCCCAACGUUGAAUUGUUUGGUAAAUGGCUAGAAGGAAUUGGGAAAAGCGAAAGGAAAGAUGCACUUUUUCAAUUUAUAAAAGCGGCUAUACCAGAAGAGGAGCAUAAUGAUAUUGUUAAAAGUACAACCAAAAAAGUUUUUUACCGCAUAAAUUCAAUGUGGACGUCCUGCCGUGCAAAUUUACAACGAUUCCAUCGCAAGCAUGGAGUUUGGAUGAAUAACCAAACGAUCAUCAGAAUAAAGCGUCAGAAAAAAUAGACUUUUCCUUCAGAAGUAUUCAGUUUAUUAGAAUGCUCAUUAAAUUCGAAAGAAGAUAUGGAGAAUGAGAGCAGCUUUUUGAAUACUGAUCUACUUCGGGAUUCUAUUAAUUUGAAAAGCGAAGAAGUUUUAUAGGGCUGCAGCAGGACGAAAUAUGUAGUAAACACUUUGUAACGAAAGAUUACCGAAACAAGCAAAUGAGAAGAAUACAAAAUAUUGAUAAAAGAAAUUAACUUUUUGUAUAACCCAAUUCUUCUAAUUUGUUGGGAUUAACAAUAAAAACGGUAGCCGACCUUAAACUGAGCAAGCUUGCUUUUGUCCAGCAUUUAAUCAAACUGUAACAUCUCAAGAUCGAUGAAAUUUAUUAUCUUUUCCAUACAAAUAUAAUCGAAAAACAAAUGUUGGCAAAUUGGGAAUGAAUGCCAUGCCAUAGCACUAUAGAAAAUUUGAUCACUUUUUUAGGCAAAAAUUCAUUUUUUGAAAGUUGGCAGAUUGAACUAAUUUUAGGUGCAUGUACAAUGUAAACACGUGUUUACAAUGGAUCAUUCAUCAAUGUUGCAUACCAGAAUUUUCGAUAGAUGGCGCCACCUUAACAAUAAUACAGAUGAUAAAAGCAGCUGUUUGAAUUGUAAUUCACGUGCUUUUGCACAUUUUUCUUUUAGUUUCAUUUGUGAAUAGUUACAAAUUAAGCACACUUUUAACCCUUAUCCAUGAAA